GGUGGUGCCUAUGUUGAAAAAGAGUGUUUUGUAGCUGAGAAUUUGCUCUAGCAAAUAGUGUUGUUGUGCUCUACGUAUCUGUUGUUGUUUCCAUGGAAAUAAAUAGAAAGCAUUACUGUCAGAGAGACCUACAGUCAGAAUAACAACAUUAUAGGAGUCAUCUGAUAUAAUUCAUAAUUUAUUUAAGGAAGAAAAUUCUCGAAUAGAUUAAUUAGAAGAUGAGAGUCAGAAUUAACCAGUUAAGUCUUAUAUCCACUUAUCUUAUAUUCCUCCUGCGACAGUAGGCAUAUUUGAUAUGCACAGAGAAAUAUGUAACUAUUUGAACCAAUGAAAUACAUCAGUGGACAUCCUACGAGAUGCUUUUUCAUGCUUUACCACAUCUGUCAUACAUUGUUCUAACUGAAUAUGAUUUCUUAAAACACAUCUUUGGUACUGAUUACUGUACAUUUAUACUGCAGGGGCAAAGAACAUUUUCCUGAAGUAGUUCUGCCCUUCGGACAUGUUUAUAUUACUGGUAUUAUGCAAUAUUUAGCUGCCCUGUUGUCAUUUUUCCAUAACUAAUAUUUCCCAUCUUUAUAUGUUGAGAUCACGAGCUGCUGUUUAUUGUUUUGUAUGGAAAAUGCUGGAAAUGCUGUCUCCCUCCUGCCUACCGAGACUGGGGAAGCUGUCCAAACUCCUCCAGUUCCUCCAUUGGCUGAAGGGGAAUUUAACCCAGGUUCUUGUAUCUCACUGAAUGAUGACCAUGCAGCUGCUCAGCAGCAGCAACCCACAACUCUAGGUUUUUGUGAACCAAGCCCAUUAAUUCCUCCUUUUCUCACUGCCCCUAAGUAGCACAGCUGACUUCCUGUCCAGUGGAAAACCCUAUUCAAAUGGUGGCUUUUUCAGAUUUUGUUUACAUCGAGAAAAACGGAAAACGUUUCUUGUGGGUCAGUCUAAAUGAAUUUUAGUUUAAUUUUUCAGUUUGGCAAAGGAUCAAAAACUCAUUAGCACCGUUCUAGCUCCACUGUUAUCACUCAAUAUUUUCUAUAAAUAUAGCAAGCAAUUUGCACACUAAACAGAGCUUGUACAGGAAAAUAAAAGAAACAAAACAACAGAAACAACAGAACCACACAGCUAGGACACAGAGGUACACCUGGGUUAUUUCUCUGUGUGCUAGCAUUACUGUGUCAGUCAAAUUAGGCCAUCUGUAACAUCUCUGUAAUCUGCAGUUUUUGAAUUCCCAUCCAGUUACACCUGUGCCACUCCUUUAUUUUCUGUGGCAUCACAUAGGAUUAACAGCAGACUGAACCUAGUCCUCAGUGUUAAUGGAAGUGCUGUUGGUGAAGGUCAGGAAGGCACAUUCAGACCUACAGUGAUGAGUACCUGUUCCCCUGGGAGCACUGGAGAUACGUUAGAUGCCAAAAGCAGCGUCUUUGAAAGUGGUCCUACAGUAGAGCAAGUGCAUAUUACCAACAUGCUUUAUUUGGGAAGGAUUCCGUGGCCAAAGAAGGGCUUUAAAAACUAGAAAGAGAGGAGAGAGGCCACAGAGCACAAACAUAUCGAUGAGGAUGAUAAGCAGUGUGUUCCAGAUUGGAUAUCCACAGAGAUGAAGGGAGAAGGAGCAGUGAGGAGCCCCGUGGUUGCUCCCUUGGUAAAGGUGACCGUACCCUUCGGAGCCACUGCUUCAGUUGGGAACACAGAUAUCCACGGCCUGGGGAACAGCAGGAGGGGUGCUCCGCAGAGAUGGGGCUGGGGGAAAUCAAACCCCAGAAUGGGGAAACUGUAAUUAGUGUGAUGGGGAGAAGGAAAUGAAUAAUCGGCACACGGAGACGGGAAGACGGACUUCUAACAAGUUAUUCCAAGAUGCAAAUGCUUCCUCCAUUGUUUCCUAUUUGCAUUUUAAAGUACUUCAGCAUCGGAUUUGAGGCAUCUAGAGAGGACGAACCUGCCUCAGGUCAGCUCAGAGGUGACGCAGAAGAGUAUUCAAAACACGUCUGUCAAAAAGGUAAGCCUCGAUGAAGUUUGCUUUAAACUUGAACAGGCUGUUGCUCCAAGAACUACUUGAGACUACUCUCAAUGAAAAAAUAGAGGUGGAGAGGAAGAUCAAUUUUUUGGCUCUUAAUUUUUCAUGUGUACAUAUUGCAUGCUUUUAAGAAAAAAGAAAAAAUGCUCCCAUCGAUUGCCUGGGUCUUUCAUAUAGCAACAAGGAAUAAAAAAUAUGUAGUUAAAGAAUGAACAGUGCAAACCUGAGUACUCGCCACUGCUUUUAAGUCCCACUGGAACAGAGUGACUCUCGAGCCGUGCCUGUGGGUGCCAGUAUGACAGUGAGUGCCCAAGCCCUGCACCGAUGCUAUGGCCCCAAACGAAGGCCUCACCCAGUGACCCACAACCUGCUCCCACAUACUCCGACCCACGGGCAGCCAGCUGCAGGUGUUUGAGCACAGCAUUGCUUUUUCUUCACGAGUUCCACGCAUACGUACAAAAGGGUUUUGCCAGUUGUGCUAUGGUGCAAAAUAAAGGAAAUCUUCCUCUUUGCCCAUUGUAACGAUUUGUGUGUUUCCAGCCUAUUCUAACUCAUGGUGCAGCGUAUGUGCAACAAUGCUUGAUUACAGAGAGGCCAAGAUGAAACUGGAGGAGCCCAGUAACCAUGGAGAUUGGUGAUCAAUAAUAUAAUACUAUUUGUUUAUAAAUUAUCCAUAGCCCCUUUAUCCUUUUGUGAAAGGCAAGUGAGACCCAGGCAACAUGUUCAAUUUAUAAUUAUUGUCUAAAAUAAAAUGUGAUUAUGCUUUCUGUGGGUGACUACCUGCCCAUUAAUAACAUUAUUUUCAGAUGGUUCGAUAACGCUAUGGAUCGGGGGAGAUAACUGUGUUUGGAGGAGAAAUAGAAGCUGCUCAACAAAGGGGCGGCUGUAAAGAUACAUCUGAAGGCUGUAAUGAGGAAAGUGCUGCUUCCAGCCAGAAGUCUCAGUAGAUACAACUGGGCUGUGUUACAUCUUGUUGUGCAAUGAGGGGAAAGUCCUAAAAGCACAUACACCAUGCACAAAACCCAAGCCACAUUCCCAGUUCCUUUUCCAGGAACAAAAUCCUCAUCGUGAAGCUCUAAAGGUGGCAGUCGUAAUGUGAAGGCUGUCUCAGAUAAUGAUUAAGACGACUCUGGAGGAGCUUGGAUAAAUUAAGGCAUUUUCUGAGCUUUUUAUCCUCCUCCCUGCUUUUAUGUAAGCAACUCAUUGGUUUUACUCAGUAGUUUCCACCGGAAAGCCAAUAGCCAUCAGGAAUGCAGGGUUCUGGUGGACAAAAGGCUGGACAUGAGCCAGCAGUGAGCUCUUGCAGCCCAGAAGGCCAAUAGUAACCUGGGCUGCAUCAGUGGAGAGGUGGCCAGCAGGGAGAGGGAGGUGAUUGUCUCCCUCUACUCUGCUCUUGCGAGGCACCAUCUGGAGCACUCUGUCCAGUCCUGGGACUCCAGGGAGAUGUCACUGCAAUCUUCCAACACUUGAAAGGAGCUUACAAACAGGAAGGCGACCGAAUUUUUUACACAGUGGUAGUGACAGGACAAGGGAGAAUGGAUUUAAACUGAGAGAGGGAAGGUUUAGGUUAGUUGUUAGGAAGAAAUUCUUCACUCAGAGGAUGGUGAGGCAUAUGAACAGUCUGCUCAGAGAAAUUGUGGAUGCCCCAUCCCUGAAGGCAUUCAAGGCCAGGCUGGAUGGGUUCCUGGGCAGCCUGAUCUGGUGGCUGGCAAACCAGCCCAUGGCAGGCACUGGAACUAGAUGAUCUUUGAGGUCCCUUCCAACCCAAGCCAUUCUAUGCCCAAGAUCCCAUCACACAGCUCAUACUGCCACCCUGCUGGGGCUAUCAGUACCAUGGAGCUUCAGCAUCCUCACUAGAUGGAUGGUUGAAACACUCAGAAAAAGGCCCAGAAAACAACACAAAUGAGUGUCUACUCAGCAGAGGAGAGAGAAGGUGAGACUGUUGCCUAAAAAUAGGGAUGAGCUGCAGCUGUAGGGUGAGCCCUGCUGAUGAGAGCACACCAGUCGUGCACAGGCUGCUUGGCAGGCGCUAGGCACACACAGCUUGUUGUCAAGCAGCAUGGAAAGCAGUCAUGAACGAAUAGACUUUCUCCCUGUCCAUUUUUAGCCCUACUGCAAAGAGGUCACCAGAAUUCCUUUUCCCUGAGCUUCAGUCUUGUAAAUAGCUGAGCUGCUUAGAAUUGAAAAAAAAAAAAAAAAGAGUAGAAAAACAGGAAAUGUAGACAAGUGUAGACCAAAAA